rnacentral:rRNA from 1 species
CACGUAGGGCGCAAGCGUUGUCCGGAAUUAUUGGGCGUAAAGAGCUCGUAGGCGGUCUGUUGCGUCUGCUGUGAAAACCCGGGGCUUAACCCCUGGCUUGCAGUGGAUACGGACAGACUAGAGGUAGGUAGGGGAGAAUGGAAUUCCCGGUGUAGCGGUGAAAUGCGCAGAUAUCGGGAGGAACACCGGUGGCGAAGGCGGUUCUCUGGGCCUUACCUGACGCUGAGGAGCGAAAGCGUGGGGAGCGAACGGG